rnacentral:misc_RNA from 1 species
GCUCUCUCUUCACUUUGCCCCUUCAUUUUUUUUCCCUUCUGAAUCCUUCAUAUCAAUUGCCGAUUACUCGUCCGCCAUGGAAGAAGGUUCAUCGCGACGUGCCAAACGUCCCUUCGUUGAGGACGAUGACUCCAAUAAAGCUCCAGAGCAGAAGCGUGUAAGGUUCCCAAAGGGUAAGAAGGCAAAGCAGGGCGAUACCACGAUUGAUGGGUGUGAAGAUAAACCUAGUGGGCGGACAGAUCCUCGCAAUGCAGCCAAAGAGCGUUCGGCACGGCGGAAUCAAAUAACAGCGGAACUCCUUGAUGAAGAAAACGAAGGUGAAAUAGCUGACAUAUCGCGGGCAGAAGUGGAAUAUGAGGAAAAUGAAACCUUCAUUGAUGAUGGGAUUGCAAUAGAACCUUUUAAUCUGAAUAAAGAGAGAGAAGAAGGUUAUUUUGAUGCAUCAGGAAACU